CUACGGCCAUAUCUCAUUGAAACACCGUUUCUUGUACGAUCACCGCAGUUAAGCAAACGUCGAGCCUGGUCAGUAACUAGAUGGGUGACCACUUAGGUAUACUAGGUACUGGAA